rnacentral:rRNA from 1 species
GUGUAUAAAGGUGUGCUGCUAGAUGGCAAUAAUGUAGCUAUCAAGGUUCUCAACCCCAAUGGAUUGCAUGGGAACAAAGAAUUCUGCACAGGAGCUAUGGCGUUGAGCAGGAUUUAUCACCCGAACCUUCUGAAGCUUGGUGGCUUUUGCACCGAUGAUAAUCAAAGAAUAUUGAUUUAUGAAUAUAUGCCUUUGGGCUCAUUGGAAAAACAUAUUUUCGAUCUUUCCCCUCAUAAGAAGGCGCUUGAUUGGAAUACAAGGAUUAACAUACUUGCUGGGGCGGCUGAAGGCCUGAAGCACUUGCAUGUUAACUGCAACCCUGCAGAGAUACACGGUGAUGUGAAAAGUGGGAACAUUUUGCUUGGCGAGGGAUGUCAUCCCAAGUUGUCUAACUUUGGCUUGGCAAAGCUAGGUCCGCCUGGUGACAAUACUCAUGUUCCAACCAGAGUGAUGGGUACAUCUGGGUAUUGUGCGCCGGAGUAUCUUGAGAGUGGUGAGUUGACUAUCAAGUCAGAUGUUUUCAGCUUUGGUGUUGUCAUAGUGGAGGUUAUCACAGGAAGAAACGCUUUAGGAUGGAGUCUUACCAGAGCUGAGCCUACCCUUGCUGAAUGGGCCACGCCUUUGACCAGGAGAAAUGAUUUUACAAAGUACGCCGACCCAGCGCUUGGCAACAAGUACAACAAGAAAUCACUGCUUCAGGUUCUUUCGGUUGCGCGGAUGUGUCUAAAUCCAGCAGCCAGCCUAAGGCCUGACAUGGCAGACGUAGCGGCGGCACUUACUAACAUCUCAAUGUCUGCUGGUACCGACGUAUAG